CGUUAGGAAGCUAAACAGGAUGCAGCAUUAGCCUUUUAAGCUAAAAACUGGUGACCCCCAACCACCCCUAACGU
rnacentral:tRNA from 1 species